rnacentral:rRNA from 1 species
GGGAAACUGCCCGAUGGAGGGGGAUAACUACUGGAAACGGUAGCUAAUACCGCAUAACGUCGCAAGACCAAAGUGGGGGACCUUCGGGCCUCACACCAUCGGAUGUGCCCAGAUGGGAUUAGCUAGUAGGUGGGGUAAUGGCUCACCUAGGCGACGAUCCCUAGCUGGUCUGAGAGGAUGACCAGCCACACUGGAACUGAGACACGGUCCAGACUCCUACGGGAGGCAGCAGUGGGGAAUAUUGCGCAAUGGGCGCAAGCCUGAUGCAGCCAUGCCGCGUGUAUGAAGAAGGCCUUCGGGUUGUAAAGUACUUUCAGCGGGGAGGAAGGCGGUGAAGUUAAUAGCUUCACCGAUUGACGUUACCCGCAGAAGAAGCACCGGCUAACUCCGUGCCAGCAGCCGCGGUAAUACGGAGGGUGCAAGCGUUAAUCGGAAUUACUGGGCGUAAAGCGCACGCAGGCGGUCUGUCAAGUCGGAUGUGAAAUCCCCGGGCUUAACCUGGGAACUGCAUUCGAAACUGGCAGGCUAGAGUCUUGUAGAGGGGGGUAGAAUUCCAGGU